rnacentral:rRNA from 1 species
CCUACGGGAGGCAGCAGUGGGGAAUAUUGCACAAUGGGGGAAACCCUGAUGCAGCGACGCCGCGUGAGUGAAGAAGUAAUUCGUUAUGUAAAGCUCUAUCAGCAGGGAAGAAAAUGACGGUACCUGAGUAAGAAGCCCCGGCUAACUACGUGCCAGCAGCCGCGGUAAUACGUAGGGGGCGAGCGUUAUCCGGAUUCACUGGGUGUAAAGGGAGCGUAGACGGCCAAGCAAGCCAGGGGUGAAAGCCCGGGGCCCAACCCCGGGACUGCCCUUGGAACUGCAUGGCUGGAGUGCGGGAGGGGCAGGCGGAAUUCCUGGUGUAGCGGUGAAAUGCGUAGAUAUCAGGAGGAACACCGGCGGCGAAGGCGGCCUGCUGGACCGCGACUGACGUUGAGGCUCGAAAGCGUGGGGAGCGAACAGGAUUAGAUACCCUGGUAGUC